rnacentral:lncRNA from 1 species
UUUAUGUUGAACAAAAGAGAUGAAUUAGGGAUUAACUUGAAGGAAUUUUAAGUUAGAAUUGAAAAAGGGAUUAAAUUGUAAAAGAAACUAUAAGUUUUAUGUUUUAGGGACUAAAUUGAGGGAAAUUCGAAAUUAGAAAAAUAUGCUGAAAUUUUGAUAGUUAAAUUUUAGUUUGGAUGAAAUUUGAAUAGAAAUAGAGUGUGAACUGAAUUAGGAAAGUAAGUAAAUUUAGUUAGGAUUAAAUUGAGAAUUAGGAAGAAAUUGAAUAGAAAUUAAAUUAUUUAUUAUAAUUAGUGUUGUAAUUAAUAUUACAAAUUAUUAUUUUCGUAGCUA